GUUUAGGUCACAAUAUUAUUUGACAUACUAAUGUGACUAAUAGAUCCAAUCCGAAAACUCUAAGGUUUGAGAGACCAGUCUUCCCAAAUGUGUACGGUCCUUAUAAUUUUCAUUUUUUAUAUCCAUAAUGGAACUCUCUUUCUUCCUCCUAUGUUCAACAUAAUUGCUCGACCUCACUAUGUUCACCAGCUCCAAGUAGUCUGAUUAAGUAUGCACUUCCAUCGGUCCUUGUUCUUAUGUUAUUUUUAUAGCAUUAAGCACCCCUUAUGCUUCCGCCUCUAUGGGAUUUAGACACCCCUUCAUACUCCAAGUGGUGUAACCGAUAAUAUUGCCUUUCUUCUCCCUGAACCAAGUUCCUAAGUUCCAAACUCCUUCUAUCGUUAGAUUCCCAUCCGUGUUGAUGGGGAUGCUCUUGUGCUUCGAGGUUUGUUGGUUUUGAUUUUUUUUACAUCCAUACUACUAUUUUUUUUGUGUGUUUCAUUGUUCUUACCUCAUUGCAUGUCAGACUUAUGCUUAGUCUCAAUGUAGUUCACUCAUUUGAAAAUGUUUGUUUUUUCUUUUUGCAUAUCUCUCUUAUGCUUAUAUCCUAUAUUCGGUUGAGUUUGUUUAUCGAGAGUUUUCAUUGCGCAUGCAUGUCUCUGCUUUGGCUAUACUUUUUGAUGGUAAUACUUUUAGUUGUUUGAUUUUUCCUUUGCGAGGUGUACACAUCUUUGCUCGCUCACUUUCUCCAAGGUUUAUGAGCAUUGUUAUUGGGGGUAGCCUUAGUUCCAGAUAUUUUACAAAUGAGCCAGAUAAUGUUGUUAUGAUGGUUAUCAUUAAGGAUAAAAGCUUUGAUUUCCUGGUUGGAAUGGUGUUGAUGGAUGGUUCCAACUUUGUCAAGAUUCUCCGGGGUAUUAUUUUGUUGUUUGUAUCAGGAUAAAGAAUCAUUUCUUGUUCAUUGUUGGUUGAUGCUUAUAAAGCAAGAGAAGAGUUUUCUUUAUACUCCAACGAAGACUUUGGUGGAUCUGAGUAAAGGUUACCACAAAACAAACUUGGGAGUUGUCCUCAUUCAAUGAUAGAACAAUCGCUCAGGCAAGUCUUUGUUAGAUAUGAGUAAAGGAGGAUACAUAAUUGAAACUUGGAGUAGUUCAAUGGAUUUAUCAAGUUUGGUGGAUCAAGAUCAAUGAAGAUCUUGAAUGUUAGUAGUUGAGUAAUAUGCAUCAAUAGGAAUCAUUAUUGUUUUAGAUCCAUGUUGGCUAAAACAUUGAGCUGUUAGUGUUUGGUUUGAUGAUAAUUAAUUAUACAAAGAUACUUGUAUCUUUAACCUUAAAAAUAGUGGAAUACAUUACCGUUUACGAUGGUGAAAAUCAUCGAAGAGUGGAGUAGGCAUAAUGAGGAAGAAUUUAUGAACUACUAUAUAUCCGGUGUACAAUUUUCUACCCCUAUCUCUUUAGUUUUUCUGCAUUAUAUAA